rnacentral:tRNA from 1 species
GCCCGGGUAGCUCAGUUGGUUAGAGUGUCAUCCCGAUACACCAAGGUUACGGGUUCGAUCCCCGGUCAGGGCA